GGCUUGCUGGUCUAGUGGUAUGAUUCUCGCUUUGGGUGCGAGAGGUCACGGGUUCGAUUCCCGUGCAAGCCG
rnacentral:tRNA from 1 species